GGAUGUGGCUCAAGUGGUAGCGCGCUCGCCUGGCAUGCGUGAGGCACUAAGUUCAAUCCUCAGCACCA
rnacentral:tRNA from 1 species